UGAGCUUGUUCCAUUGUUUGAGAAAGCUGGACCUAUAUGGGAUCUUCGUUUAAUGAUGGAUCCACUUACUGGUCUCAACAGAGGUUAUGCCUUUGUCACUUUUUGUACAAAAGAAGCAGCACAAGAGGCUGUUAAACUGGGUCUCACAGAUGUCAUUUUAUACCACCAACCUGAUAACAAGAAAAAAAACAGGCUUUUGCUUUCUUGAAUAUGAAGAUCAUAAAACAGCUGCCCAGGCAAGGCGUAGGCUAAUGAGUGGUAAAGUUAAAGUCUGGGGAAAUGUUGGAACUGUUGAAUGGGCUGAUCCUAUUAAAGAUCCUGAUCCUGAAGUUAUGGCAAAGGUAAAAGUGCUGUUUGUAAGCAACCUUGCCAACACUGUAACAGAAGAGAGAGAUGGUGCUGUCAAGUUCCAGCUUCCUGGUUUCUGUCUGCCUUAAGUUCUCACCUUCACUGCCUUUACUUGGACUGGAACUUGUAAGAAGAUUAAUACUUUUCCUCCUCGAACUUGCUUUUAGCCAUAAUGUUUAUCACAACAACAAAAGCCAAACUAGAACAAGCCUACAGAUAUGGGAAAUGCAACACUCUUCCCUUUGAAAGACUCAGCCCCUCCCACCCCGUUAUCACUCUGGUACUUACACUCCUGGACCUGGUGGGAUGGCCAGAGGACCUGUGAGCAACCUGGGUACAAUAAUGCACAGCGACACCUUCCUCAACUUCCGUAAACAGUCUCAGGGCUAGAUCUGACUUCUCACUGCUUAGGUAGUUAUUAGAGUCUGAAGCUGUCAAAGAGAACAUAAGAAAUUAUAUGGGUCCAACAAGGGACAACAGAGUGAAUAUGUUUUUAAAAAUAUGUGCAUGUGGGCUGGAGAGAUGGCUCAGCGGUUAAGAGCACCCGACUGCUCUUCCAGAGGUUAUGAGUUCAAUUCCCAGCAACCACAUGGUGGCUCACAACCAUCUGUAAAGAGAUCCGAUGCCCUCUUCUGGUGUAUCUGAAGACAGCUACAAUGUGUACUUACAUAUAAUAAACAACAGAGUGAAUAUGUUUUUAAAAAGAUGUGCAUGUAUGAAACUGUCAUACUUCUGCUAUGUAUGAUCAAGAUGCCACUAAAAAUAUAAGAUUUUUCAAAAAUUUUAAAAUAUAAGAAAGAAACUUGGUCCACUUUGAACACCAGUAAUAAAUGAUUCAGGCUAGGCAUUAUGGGCCAAGCUGUCUACAGCAGAAUUAUCCAAGCCUCUGAAGCCAUUCAUUCCCUGCUUAUGCCUAACAUUAGCCAGUCUGAAUUGAUUGAUUUACUUCACUAUUAACUCCAUCCUCUGAGUAAAAAGCAUACACCCUAACUCUGGCAUCAGAAUAUGGCAAAUGUGGGCUUUCUACUGUUAAGUGACAAGACUUUUCCUGAGGAGACACAACACGUGUCUAUUUACUCCAGAUAGGGAGCCCAUGACAUAUCAAAGUAUGGAUAACAUCUAAAUCCAACUUGGUGAACUAAUGAGUUUCCUUGGGUUAUGUACAGGAAUAUGAGUGAGAGGUUACUUACAGGAGAAUGACUCAAAGACCAUCCCAUAUGGAUGACAGUUCCCAAGAGCUAGGAACCUGGAGUGUACUCUGCAGCCUGCCAGCAGUUCAACAGGUUUUCCUCCUGGCAUUUACUAGGAUUCAUCUCCAUAGAUGCCAAUAUCAGAAUCAAGGGGAUCUAGACUUAGAGGUUUUGAACCUGUUGGCCCCAAACAUCACUGCAUUUGUGUCCCUGCUGUGACCAGAAACAGUUCCAGAGAGCUUCACACACCUUCAAGGCAUAAACUGUGUCUGCCAGAAGACUAUUAGUAAUGUCUUAAAUAGUUACCUAUUCGUAGUGACAAAUAAGGAAAGUAACAUUGGAAAACAGACUAAGCUGUAGUCAGAAACUCGUUCUUCUGACUGCUUUCCCAUGUGCAUUCUGUGUUAUCCCAUGGCAUUCCUAAGAAGCUCCAGUCUCUUCUAUCAGGUUCAGUGUAUUUGACCUUACGCUGAGGUCUCUCGGAUCCAUGUGGAGUUUAAUUUGUGCCAGGAAAUAAGUGUAAAUCUAUUUGUCUUCUACAUGCAACCAUCCAGCUUAACCAGCACUAUUUUUGAAAGAUGCUGUCUGCCAGUGUGUACUUGUGGUUUCUUUAUCAAAUCAAAACUCAACAGCCUAUAAGUGUGUAGACAUGUGUCUGGGUCUUCAGAGAAAGUGGGGAAUAGUCCUGAAUGCAUUGACCCAGGAAAAGAUGUUUCUGAACAGAAUGCCAAUAGCAUAGGCACUAAGAACAAGAUAAAUGGGACUUCAUCCAACUGAAAAGCUUUACAUUGCAAAGGAUAUCAUCAUUCAGACGAAGCAGCAGGUUACAGAAGGGGAAAAGCAGGAUACACAGGUCAGAAUAGUCAGGAUCAGUAAAACAAAUGAUAGCUCAUGCAUGCAAGGAUAUUGAGUAAAGGAAAAGGAAACACUCGUCCAUUGCUGGUAGAAGUAUAAACUUGUACAGCCACUGUGGAAAUUGGUGUGCUGUUCCUCAGGAAGCUGGGACUCGAUAUCCAGCUAUACCACUCUUGGGCAUAUUCCCAAAGAAUGCUUCAUCCUACCACAAGGACACUUGCUCAACUGCUCUAUUUAUAAUAGCUAUAAACUAAAAACAGCCUAGAUGUUCAACAUUGGCUAAUGAAAUGGGUAAAGAAAAUGUGGUGGCCCCUUGUUAAUCUUCUUCUCUUCCUCUUUCUUCUCUGCUUUCCCCCAAUAAACCCUCUUCUUGUGAAAAAAGAAAGAAAAUGUGGUACAUUUAUACAAUGGAAUAUUAUUUAGCCACUGAAGAUGAAAUCAUACAAUUUUCAAUACAUAUUAUGUAUUUACUGUAAUAUUUAGGAAAUGCAUAGAUAAAUGGAGCUAGAAAAAAACUAAUCCUGAAUGAGGUAACACAGACUCAAGAACACAAAUAUUCUAUGUUUUCACUUAUAUGUGGAUGUCAUUUGUUUUAUAAGUCUUUGAUAGGCAAACUUCAGCCCAUAUAACCAGAGAGGUUACAUAGAAAGUAAGGAACCAGGAGGUUGGGAGGGAUCACCAUAAGACAGAGAACUGGAAGAGGUAGUUAUAAAUAGAUAGGAGACAGGUCUUGGAAUGGGAACAUCAAGUGGGAAGGAUGAGGGCGAGUAUAUAGAGAAAGACAGCUAGAACUAAGAGCCACUUGAGUUGUCAUAUACGAACCUAAUACAGUAGAAGCUUCUUAAAAUAUAUACACAUAUGAAGGCUAUCAAAAUGAAGUCAUCAAACUUCAACAGGGGAGAGAGAGUCCCAACUAGAUGUCUCUUAUCACCAAAUGAAGCUUCCAGUAGAAUGUGUUACAUCUAAUCAAGUUGUUGGCUCAAGAGGCCCCUUGGGAACCACCCAGCAACCCAAGCCAUUCUGAUGGUGCUGCCCUAUUGCAGAAGACAAUACCUACACAACAGGUGACAGCACAUGUUGGGUGAGAAUGUGGAGAAAGAGGAACACUCCUCCAUUGAUGGUGGGAUUGCAAACUGGUACAACCUCUCUGGAAAUCAGUCUGACGGUUCCUCAGAAAAUUGAAAUAGCUCUACCUGAAGACCCAGCUAUACCACUCUUGGGUGUAUGCCCAAAAGAUGCUCCAUCAUACCUCAUGCUACACUAAGUUCAUAGCAGUCUUUUUCGUAACAGCCAGAAACUGGAAACAACUCUGUCCCUCAAUUAAAGAAUGGAUGCAGAAAAUGUGGUUCAUUUACACAACGGAGGACUCUUUAUCUAUCAAAAAUGAGGACAUCGUGAGAUUUGCAGGCAGAUGGAUAGAAUUAGAAAAUAUCUUGAGUGAGGUAACCCAGACCCCAAAAGACAUGAAUGGUAUGCCCUCACUGAUAAGUGGAUAUUAACCGAAAAGCACAGAAGACCUAGAAUACGAUCUACAGACUGUAAGAAGUGUAACAAGCAGAAAGGCCCAAGUGAGGAUGCAUAUGUUAAAAAUGAAAAUAUCACACGCCUUACUAACUACACAGCAUUGAUGUUCGAUAAUUAUGUUUAAAGGUUUUGACCUCUCCAUAGAAAGCAGCACACUAGGUUCGGUCCCCAGCUCCGAAAAAAAGAACCAAAAAAAAAAAAAAAAAAAGCAGCACAUACCAUUAUCAACAUUAGGUAUUAUUUAAUUAUUACUUACCACGCAUGGCAUAGGCUCAGGAGGAGCUGUGAGCCAAAUUAUCAAAGUAAAACAAAGAAAAGAAAAGAGCUGAUGUGCUGAAACAGCCCCGUAAUUCUAGGUUGAGGCACAGGACAGUCUGGAAUUCAAGGUCAGCCUGAGUUCACUGUGACAUUUUAUCUCAGAAAUAGAGAAAAGGGGGUUGGGGAUUUAGCUCAGUGGUAGAGCACUUGCCUAGCAAGCGCAAGGCCCUGGGUUUGGUCCUCAGCUCUGAAAAAAAAAAAAAAAAGAAAUAGAGAAAAGGCUUCUGGUCAGAUGGCGCAGUAGAAGCUGCCUCUCUGUGGCCUGGCAAAAACAAACAUGUUAGCCUUAAAAACAACUCGACUCUCAAAGGAGAGAGCGGAGGUGUUUCAGAAAUUCACAGAAGUGGUGACUAGACAGCUUACAAGUUUGGAGACAGAGGAUCAAAGCACCAAGCUCCCAGCUCCAGCCAUGAAGCUCCCAGGAUGGCAAGAAGCAAAAGCUCAUCCAAAGGUAGACCUGAUGCCCCAAGUAAAAGACCACAGGUAUGGGGUUGGGGAUUUAGCUCAUUGGUAGAGCGCUUGCCUAGCAAGCUCAAGGCCCUGGGUUCGGUUCCCAGCUCUGAAAAAAAAGAAAAAAAGAAAAAAAAAAAAAAGACCACAGGUACUACUUUCAGGAUGGGUUAUCAGUGAACAGGAGUCUCUUAUACUCCCUCUAUAUAACUCAGAGGACAUUAACCCAGUGCCAUCCUCACAAAGAAUUUAUUCCUUAAAACUGACUUACUUGAAACCCUGAACACACAAAAGGUAGGACAUCUAAAUUAAACUCCCACAGACCCCUGGGUGAGAGGCAGCCUGAGGGACAGCUACAAAGAACAGGAAAGCUGCCUAGCAAACCCAAAUUGUAUGCAGCAGGAGGCUGAGCGCUGGCAGUGUAGUAUAGCAGGAAAGACAGACCUACGCUCAGUGGCCAGGAACUGACCUCAUCAACAGAAUAACUCCAAACAAUGAGGUCAGUGAGAUGCUGAAGCCAGCAUUCUGCCUGAGAUUUGCCCUUACGGAGUCCAGGAAUUCUGAAGCUCCAGAAUAGUUAACAGCCAAAGCAAUCCACUGCUUCAACAGGGUGAUUAAAGCUUAGCGGCUUUUGAAAGUCCCAAGACAGUACGCUUGUUCAGAUCUCAGUGCUGCACUUGCUUUCCUCACUCCCAAUGCGUUUAGGAGACACCUCCCAGGUAGAACAUUAGCCGUUAGAACUGUGGCUGCCCUCCACUCAAAAAAGGUAGGAGAGAGGCUGGGGAUUUAGCUCAGUGGUAGAGCGCUUGCCUAGCAAGCACAAGGCCCUGGGUUCGGUUCCCAGCUCUGAAAAAAAGAAAAAAAAAGGUAGGAGAACCUGUUCAACCCACAGAGAGGUUAGCAGAGAACCCUGGUAUUCAAAGAAGGGAAAUUAUGAAGUUGGGCUGGAAAGAUGGUUCAGUGGGUAAGAGCACUGACUGCUCUUCAGAGUUUCUGAGUUCAAAUCCCAGCAACUGCAUGGUGGCUCAUAACCAUCUGUAAUGAGAUCUGACGCCCUCUUCCAGUGUGUGUGAAGACAGCUACAGUGUACUUAUAUAUAACAAGUAAAUAAAUCUUUAAAAAAGAUUAUGAAGUCAAGGCUGUCAGCAGAUUUCAGCCCAUCCGCCCCGUCUGGUACACACACACACACACACACACACACACACACACACACACAUACUGUAGCUGUCUUAGACACCAGAAGAGUACAUGGGAUCCCAUUACAGAUGGUUGUGAGCCACCAUGUGGUUGCUGGCAAUUGAACUCAGGUCCUCUGGCAGAGCAGUCAGUGCUCUUAACCACUAAACCAUCUUUCCAGCCCCCUUUUAUUGUCUUUUUAAAGAUUCUGGUAUGUGUUUGUUUAUUUUUCUAUUUUCCUUUUGUUUUGGUCACCUGUGUCUGGUUCCCCUCCACCCUCUUUUUUUUAAAGAGAAAGGAGGUUUACUUUGACAGUUUGAGGACACAGCCCAUUUGUGAUACAGAGACCAUGGAGACAAGAGCAAUUUUGAAUAUUCCAGUAGGUGUAUAAGGCUUCUUGCUAACAGCUGUGCAGACCAGGAAGUACAGAAAAGGAAAAGCCAAAGCUCUUCUGGCUUUCUCUUUUUCCUAUCUUACUUAGUCUGGAUCCUCAGACCAUAAAACAUUGCCAUUCACAUUCAUGACCUGUCUUCACACCUCAGUGUCAAAACCCUUUCAGACGGGUCCAACAGUGUAUCUACUAGAAGACUCAAAAUCCAUUUAAAAUGACAGUUCCAAUUAACCAUCACAUGCCUACGUCUUGUCUACUCCACGCCCAAAUCCAUCACAUUUAAAUCAAGUACUGCUUGGAUGGAGAUGCUCUGCAUGAAUGCAAAUGCACAAUGUUGUUGCCAGAAGACAGACUGAAAAAUCUCUGGGGUUAGAGAGAUGGGUUGCAGUUAAGAACACUCGAUCCUCUUCCAAAGGAACUGUCCAUUCCUAUCACUUACAUGGUGGCUUAUAACCAUUUGUAAUCUCAGUUCAAGGGGGAUCCACCACCCUCUUCUGACCUCCACAGGCACCAGGCAUAUAUGUGGUGUAUAGAAUACAUGCAGGCAAAACAUUUACAUAAAUAAAAUUGAAAUAAAUCUUUUAAAAUAAUUAUGAUUUUUGCAUAUGUCUGUAAAAUAUGAAAGGAGAAAGUCAACUCUGAUAGGGGAAGAAGUCUAAAGGAAGGGAGAAGAGGGAACCAAAGGAGGCCAGAUGGAGUACAUACAACAUGAAAGAUGAAGGAGGUGACUUUACUACUUAGUGUGUAUGCACAGACAUACAUGUUUCAUGGCACAUAUAUGCAGACCAGGAGGCAACUUUCAGAUUUGGUUUUGCCUUCCACCUUGUCAGCCCUUGUUUCUGAUGCUGGCUGGCUCCAGGCUAGUUAGACUCUUUCCUGUCUCCACUUCCCAAAUUCCAGUGGGAGUGCAAGGGCUUAUGGGUGCAUGAAUUUUUUAAAAGUCUUCUAGAGACAGAAUUCAAAACCUCAGCCUGAUAACACCUUUCUUCAAUGAGACCAGGAACAUGCUAAAGAUUACACAUGAGGUAAAUCAUUAGACAAUAGAGUUUUUGUUGUUUUGGUCAGUACUUUAAACUUUUUUUUUUUUUGAGACUCGAUCUUGCUAAGCAUUUGAAGUUGACCUGGAAUCUGGAAUUCACCAUGUAGCUGCCCUUGAACUAGCUCUCUGUACUGUUCCACUCCCCCACCUUCACCCCAAUACUGAGAUUACAAAUGGGAGCCUCCACACAUUGCUGACUGUGCUGACUUUCUGAAGAUUGCCUACAACAGAAGUCUGUCAGGAGCAACCAUUGUAAAAAUGUCUUAUGAUAUAAAUACAAGGUGGUUUUCCUUUAGAAACCUUAUUCCUGGCUUUUACGUAAUAAAACUAUAUUUGCUCUGUUCAAACAAAGCGGUGAGAAGGAGAGAAGAGAGGAAACCGCUGAGCUGUUAAGAAGACAAGAGAAAAACACAGUAAUGGGGGCGGGGGUAAAGUUAGUUUAUAGGCCACGCUAGGGCUAUAACUAAAACAAAAUUUUGAAAUAGUGGAAAUUUCACCAUUUUAUGUUGAAAGAGAGAGAUUCAGUCUUUGCCACAUUUUAGUUCAGUUUGACAAGUAGGCUUCAGGACUUCAAAUCACUCGUUGCCACCAUUGGAUUUCAGAAUGCAGAUCCUGGUAGGUCGUAGGAUUGCGAAAGCAAGAUCACAAUGUUACCAGAAAACUUCCUAGGUUGGAAAAGCACGAAUCUUAAAAAAAAAAAAAAAAAAUUCUUCCUCAGAUGAAUAUAGAUAAAAUGAAAUGAGAUUACGAUCAUUGAUUGUUUUGUUUUGUUUUGUUUUGUUGAGGUAGAGCUUCGCUGUGCAGCCCAGGGGCCCUUGAACCCAGGCAUACCCCCCCCCCCCUUUUAGCUUUCCUAGUGCUGAGACUGCCUGCUGAUGUUCACCACUAAAUCAUCUUUCGGGAUCUAAGAAUCAGAAUACCAGGAAUUCUGUUUUAAGACUGCCUCUCCUAGAAAUGACUGUGCAAAUGAGACUGGUACAAUGGUAAUACCAAUAGACAUUAUAGUGGUUUGAAUGAGACUGACCCCUAUAGGCAUGUAUAACUUUAGUCCCUAAGUAAGUGAGCUUUAAGGGAAGGAUCAGGAGGUGUGGCCUUGAAGGAGGUGUGUCAGUAGGGGUGGGCUUUGACCUCUCAAAAAGACUAGCCAGGCCCAGGCCCAGUCUUGCUCCCUCUCCCUCUCCCCCAUCAGCCCAUCUGUAAUGAGAUCUGAUGCCCUCUUCUGGUGUGUCUGAAGACAGCUACAGUGUACUCAUAUACAAUAAAUAAAAUCUUUAAAAAAAAAAAAAAAACUUCACUUCUGGGGUUGGGGAUUUAGCUCAGCUGGGUUCGGUCCCCAGCUCCGAAAAAAAGAAAAAAAAAAAAAAACUUCUAUUCUGGGAAAGAACUCUUACCUUUUCAAAGAUGUGGCCCUGGAAUCCAACCACUUUCCUGCAUCCUAAGGCCACACAAUGUCCAUGUCUAGCACCACCCACUUCGAAAACCACCCCUCUUUCCUUACACUCCUCCAUACCUGUUAAUCCACAUCUACCUCACAUCUUACCUCUGCCCUCUUCAAAUGAACAUCUCUGCUCUGCCACUGAGACAAUGGGAUGCCCCCAGUGGCAACCACAAUGAUUGUUUCUUUUAUCAAACUCAACCACGUUUUAGGGUUGGGGAUUUAGCUCAGUGGUAGAGCACUUGCCUAGGAAGCGCAAGGCCCUGGGUUCGGUCCCCAGCUCCAAAAAAAGAACCAAAAAAAAAACAAAAACAAAAAAAAAAAAAAAAAAACUCAACCACGUUUUAGAAACAUUCAAUCCACUAGACCUGUUUCUCACUGAAACUCUUCAAUUCUGGGAAAUCACAUUCUCUGAUUUUCUCCUCCACGGGUCUCCUUGGCUAGCUUUUCAUCCUCCACUGGAACUCUCCAGUUUCCAGUGUUCUGGGGCCUCUGGACUGCACUCUCCUCUUCUAUUUAUAUCCUUUCCCUGGUGAUCUCACUCCUGUCAUGCUUUAAUUACUUGCUUAUGCCAGUGACACUCAAGCCACUCAACCUUGCCCCUGAACUUCAGACUCAUGGAUCAAUAUCCACAAAUAGGAGACAUUUUCUUUGAGUUCAUUAACUUUACUGUUUUUGUUUUAAUUCUCAUAGGAUUGCCAGUGGUAUGUCUUGUUGUCAUGAAACCUCACUAGAGGGGGUAGUUCUGACUAGAGGGGGUGGGAAGUAGGGAUUACUCUACUGGCAAGAAAGGAUCUGUCUUAGGGUCUUACUGCUGUGAGCAGACACCAUGACCAAGGCAAGUCUUAUAAAGGGCAGCAUUCAACUGGGGCUGGCUUACAGGUUCAGAGGUUCAGUCCAUUGUCAUCAAGGCAGGAGCAUGGCAGCAUCCAGGCAGGCACGAUGCAGGAGGAGCUGAGUUCUACAUCUCCACCCGAAGGAAGCCAGGAACAGACUGAGUAAGCAUCCUCAGGCAGCUAGGAGGGGGAUCGCCAAGCCCACCCAGGCAGUGACACACUUCCUCCAGCAAGGCCACACCUUCUAAUAGUGUCAAUCCCCGGGCCAAGCAUAUGCAAACCAACACAGGAUUGUUGAACUUUUAAGAUUUUCCUGCUUUGAAUGAAUUGUGUGUAUCAUACUUAGCUUGGUGUGCAUAUUUUCCUAUGGUUUAUCUGAAAGCUGCCAUAAUAGCAUUGAUCUUACACGUUUAUUAUAUAACCACUUCUUAUAAGUACUACGUUUUCCAAAGCUAGCUACUGCAAGACAUCUGCACACACUGUGGUACUAACUCCAGGCCACUGCAUCAACCCCUACAGUCCCCAGUCAGCCUCUGCCCACUAGCCUUUCUAUGGUCCAGACUUUUCUCUUGGAGUUCAGUUUACAAUUCUGAUGGUCCACUGGGCAAAUGUAGCCAAGUGUAGCAUCUACAAUUUAACCAGAGGGAAGGUUCUCAGCAGUUAAAAGCAACUAGCUGCUCUUCUAGGGGACUUGGAUUCAAUUUCCAGCACCCACGUGGUGGCUCACAGCCACCUGUAACUCCAGUCCAGGGGCUCUAACACCUUCUUCUGGCCUUCCCAGGCACUGCACGUGCAUGGCACUCAGAUGUACAAGCAGUCAAAACACCCGUCCGUGCACAUGCAAAUACAUAAUUUUCUAAAAAUGCAACAACAGCAAAACUACAUCAUCCUCUUGUCCUUCAUCUCAAAUUUCUGUGAGUCGGGGCUGGGGAUUUAGCUCAGUGGUAGAGCGCUUACCUAGGAAGCGCAAGGCCCUGGGUUCGGUCCCCAGCUCCGAAAAAAAGAACCAAAAAAAAAAAAAGAAAAAAAAAUUUCUGUGAGUCACUGGGGCCGCCAUUCUCUUCCCUGCCACGGUCCACUCUGCCUCUUUUCUGUUCCCAUUGUUCAUCAUCGCUGCCUCCCGUGACGUCAGCGACAGCGCACUUUGAUGACAUGGUUAUGAGGCUGGAGUCAAAGUAAUUUUGAGACAUUAGUUAGGUCAGAUCUUUAUGCAUCUUCCUCCUCCUUUUUUUUUUUUUUUUUUUUUUGGUUCUUUUUUUCGGAGCUGGGGACCGAACCCAGGGCCUUGCGCUUCCUAGGCAAGCGCUCUACCACUGAGCUAAAUCCCCAGCCCCCCUCCUUUUUUUUUUUUAAGAUGUAUUUAUUUAUUAUAUGUAAGUACACUGUAGCUGUCUUCAGACACACCAGCAGAGGGCAUCGGAUCUCAUUACAGAUGGUUGUGAGUCACCAUGUGGUUGCUGGGAAUUGAACUCAGGACCUCUGGAAGAGCAGUCAGUGCUCUUAACCGCUGAGUCGUCUCUCCAGCCCCUUCCUCCUCCUUUUUAAAGCAAAGUGUGAUAAUUUGGAAAUUCAGUGUCUUCCAAGACCUCAUGUGUUAGAGGGCUGGUCCCCAUGUUGGCAAUGCUGGAAGCAGCUGUACCUUUCCAUUACUAUGACAAAGUACCCAAGGACAGCAAAUUAAGGGAGCACUUAUUUUGGCUCAUGUUUUGAGCGUGUAAACUACCAAUUAGGAGAAAGGGUGACAGCAAAAAAUGGCUCAACUUUUGGCAGCAGGAGUGUGAAGCAACUGGUCACACGGCCCGCACAGUCAGGAAUGAACACUGGUGCCCAGCUGGCUUCCCUCCCUCUUGUGCAGUUUUUUUUUUUUUUCUUUUUUUCUUUUUUUCGGAGCUGGGGACCGGACCCAGGGCCUUGCGCUUCCUAGGCAAGUGCUCUACCACUGGGCUAAAUCCCCAACCCCCCCAACCCCUUCUUGUGCAGUUUUUAUUCUGUCUGGGAUCCCCUACUCCCCAGGGGUGAAGCCAUCACAUUCGGGGUUUUCUUCUCUCCACUGUUCAACUUCUCUGGAAACAUCCUCACAGAUACACCUCUCCUAUAUCCUAUAUCGAUACCAUUUUAAUAUCCUUCCAAGUUGACAAUGAACAUUACCCAGCCCCAUGGUAAAAACUUUAAGAAGCAGGUGACCAAGCCUUUAGGUCAAUGGAGGGAGACUCUGGGGCUCUGGCUUCUUUCGCUUCAUUUCCUGGCCAUGGGGUGAGUAGUUUUGCUAAGUUAAGCACUUCCAACAUAACCACCAACCUUACCACAGGCCCAAAGCAAUGGAGCAACUAGUUCUGGGCUAGACAGAGAGUUCAAACCAUGAGCCGGAAUGAAGCUUUUCUCUUUACAACGCUGGUUACCUAAAUCAUUGGUUCUUCACCUUCCUAAUUCUGCGCCUUUUAUACAGUUUCUCAUGCUGUAGUGACCUCCAACCAUAAAAGUGUUCUCAUUGCUACUUCAUAAUUUUGCUACUGUUCUGAGUCAUAAGGUAAAGAUUUUUGUACAUAGAGGUUUGUCAACAGGGUUUCAACUCACAGGUUGAGAACUACUGAUCUUAAUUCACUUGUUAUGAGUGUUGAAAGCUAACACGAAAUCAUUGUGAAGAUGAUAUUCAUCUACUGACCUUCAAAACCUAAUACUGUGGCUGUGGAGAUGGCUCUGAUAGGUAAAGAAUUGGCUUUUUGAGCCCAAGGACCCCAGUUUGAUUCCACAUAAAGAUGAUGUUAGUUGUGAAACAUGACUAUAAUCUCAGAGCUGAGAGGUAGAAAAGGAAGGAUAUACAGUCUCAGCCAGUAGAGCCUAAUUUGUGACCUCCAGAUCAGUAAGAGACACUGUUUCAAAGGAGAUAAAUGGUGUUCAUGAGGAUAACUACUAAGGGUGUCCUUUAGCAUUCACAUGCAUGUGCGUACCUGAGCAUAUAUAUUUAAAAACAACCAAAUUAAUACCACAGGCUUGAAAUGUAGCCCAGAGGCACAGUACUUAAUCAGACGCUGUAACAAACUUUACCAUAUGUGAUUCUGUUCCCUACCUUCUUUUCUAUGGCAAACAUUAUGUGAUGUUCCUCACAAUCUCUUACCCAGAUGACUUUUAUUUAUUUAUUAUCAUUACUAUUGAGCGUGUGGAUGAUGGGGAGGGGGCAUGCAUACCACAGCACAAGUAUGCUGACCAGAGGACAACUGUCAAUGGACUGCAAAUGCACAAAUAAUCUUAAUAAGCUAAAAAUGCUACAAAAUAAAGACCUGAAUUUCCAAAUUGGUAAAAUAUCCAAAUGUUGUAUGGCUAUCCAUACAUUCAAAUUACUUUGAAUUUUAUGUUUGACGCUGUCAAUCCGCAGAGAAUUUAGGAGGGAAAAACUUAAAAAUAACGAAGCUAUGUGACCUUAGGCCAAUUGGCUGCUUUUGACCUGCUUCCUCCUCUGUAAAACGGAAUGUUUCUCAUGAUUGUCUCAGUAUAACUGUCACUAGUGUCUGAUACCAAGGAGGAGAGGUAGGGGUCGGGUGUUGAACCUGGCUGGGCGCCCAAGCAAGGUUUGGAUAAUGUGCACGAGACAGCGUGGCCCUCUGCAGACCAGCGGUCCCACCAGAGUGUAGGAAAGAUAAACGGAGAGCUUUUCGAUUUUCACCCGCGUAGUUCUGUCCUCCAAGGUACUUUCAGCGGCCGGGCUGAAUACACAGCACAGGGCUGGUCACCCGAGCAGCCAAGCUCCUCCACCAGCCACGCGCAAAGGCGCCAGCGCGGCGAAGUCAUGGCCACUCCCAGCCGCCGACCGUCCGUGCCGACUAGGCUCGAAGCAGGCAGUGACCUCGCCUCCAACUGCGGCAGUUCGUUUGAAUUCUGGCGCCACUCCCACGCCACGUAGAGCCCAGCGGCCCGCCAGACUCUGAAGAGACUGGUGGAGGCGAGCCAGCGGGAGCGCGCGAAGAAAUAGACAGGCACGCGGCAGGCGGACGGCGCGCACCACGCCCCGGAAUGGCCCGGAAGAAAAGAGAGAGUCCAGGCGCCGGCUCCCACGCGUUGCUUCAAGAAAAGCCACGCCCCCACGUGCAACCGCGUCCAAUCGGUGCAAGAAGGAGGAGCAGCCUCGAUCUCGCGCAAAGGGAGCUAUAAAAGGAGCUGCGGGGCGCCAGGCUCUUUCUUUUACGACGGAGCUUGAGUUCGCUGUUUGUGGUGUAGGGACAAUGGCGCCAUUGUUCUUCGCGUCUUCAAAGCAGUUUCCAGAGGAAACAAAGAUGGCGGGGAGCUCAAAGCAUCCGAGAGAAUUCGUGAAGGGAGGAAAGUUGCUUAAAACUUGACCAUGUUAAAGUUCUUACUCCUGGCACGUCAUGAUACUUUCUGCCAGCAGUGAAUGCCAGCCCAUUGAGAUGCCCGUCCUCUGGGAAGCUCCUGGAGCAGAAAUGCAUGGCCAGUGAGAGGAGACUUCUUGCGAAGGAAAACUGGAUGUGGUGAUGUUCAGAAAAAGCAGACACAAGAAGCAAAUACAGAGUAUUAGUACUGGGAUGUUUGAGAUGGGGUCUGCAUGGCCCUUGCUGUGUCCCUCUUAAACUGUCUAGUGGAUGGGACAGCAUCUGGUAUGGCCUGCAGAGUUGAGCCUUGUGUAUACCUUUUGAAGGCUCUAUGUUAAUGUAUGACAGAGUGUUCUAUUCUGGGAAGGUUAUGGGUGAGCUGAGGAUACAACUUUACAGACUAAGCACAAUGAGUGUACAAUUACUGUAAAAAAGGCAGUUCAACAUUUUUAUUGGUUAUGAAUUGUUUCCUUAUUCAUCCAACAGUGAUCACUUGGGAGUGCUGCAAUAAACAUUCAGCUGCAAA